rnacentral:rRNA from 1 species
GACGAACGCUGGCGGCGUGCUUAACACAUGCAAGUCGAACGGAAAGGCCCUGCUUUUGUGGGGUGCUCGAGUGGCGAACGGGUGAGUAACACGUGAGUAUCCUGCCCUUGACUUUGGGAUAACUUCAGGAAACUGGGGCUAAUAACGGAUAGGAGCUCCUGCUGCAUGGUGGGGGUUGGAAAGUUUCGGCGGUUGGGGAUGGACUCGCGGCUUAGCAGCUUGUUGGUGGGGUAGUGGCUUACCAAGGCUUUGACGGGUAGCCGGCCUGAGAGGGUGACCGGCCACAUUGGGACUGAGAUACGGCCGAGACUCCUACGGGAGGCAGCAGUGGGGAAUAUUGCACGAUGGGCGGAAGCCUGAUGCAGCAACGCCGCGUGCGGGAUGACGGCCUUCGGGUUGUAAACCGCUUUCGCCUGUGACGAAGCGUGAGUGACGGUAAUGGGUAAAGAAGCACCGGCUAACUACGUG